rnacentral:rRNA from 1 species
CAGAUUGAACGCUGGCGGCAUGCCUUACACAUGCAAGUCGAACGGCAGCACGGGAGCAAUCCUGGUGGCGAGUGGCGAACGGGUGAGUAAUAUAUCGGAACGUGCCUAGUCCGUGGGGGAUAACGCAGCGAAAGCUG